GUUGUCCAUAACAUUCCCGGGUGUACUUCCUUUGUACAUAAAUUUUAGGGGGGUCAUUCACAUUGAAAAUGCAUCUCCAUAAAAAUCCUCAUCACCCCCUAGCCAUUAAUUUUGGACGGUGCCUUGGGGCACAAAAUAUACUAUUCAAAAAGAAACGCAUAACCCAGAAAUCUGUUGCGAUAAUG